UUGUUGGGAAUUCGGUAUUCGUCUCGAUACAGAAUCUUGUGAAUUCGCAACCUGCUCCGAUACCGACUGCUGUGGAUCCGGUACCGAUUGUUGGAAUUUCGCAACGGAAGCGUCGAAUCGCGUUUUUACCAUAAACUCGUUUUCUAAGCAAAAGUUGAUACAAUCACAAAAAGAGAAAAAAAUAAAACAGAAAUAUGCGGGUAAAAUAAGAUUCAUUAAAUAAGAAAAGAUUACACCUGACUCCUCUUCUGCAUAGAGUAGCUACAAUCCGAGCUCACUUUCUGAAUCUCUUUUAUACUUCUCUCGUCUUUUAUAAACCCACAAGAAGACAAUGCUUCUCGUGCACCUAUGCACUAGGUGCACUCAACUCACUAACUUUUUCUCUCUCUCUCUCUCUCUCUCGUACGGCAACCAAGACCUCUCCCACUCUCUGCCGUACACACCUCUCGGCCCCUUUAUAGCUUCGAACUAAUUAAUUCACUCCUAUGCUCAAUCAAUAAAAUUUACGGAUUUGCUUUUGGUAUUUUCUGUUUUUUCUAUUUUCUGUUUCGUUGGCGCGGUUAGGAGGCCUUAGUUACUUCUAUCAUGUAUGCCUAAUUUAUUUUACUUAAUGAAUGAAGCAGGUAACUUGUUAUCUAUUUCUCAAAAAAAAAAUAAUGCUCAAUCAAAGAUGUACCCCAACAAAAUUUCGACUUUAAUUAAUAUCUAAAUUUAUCUUAAUUUAUUUCUAAUAGAUUUAAAUAUUAAUUCUAAUCUAGUUAGAUUUACACUCUAAUUAAUAUUUAAAUCUUAAUUUAUUUUCAACAGAUUUAA
rnacentral:lncRNA from 1 species